rnacentral:rRNA from 1 species
UCUACGGGAUGCAGCAGUGAGGAAUAUUGGUCAAUGGGCGAGAGCCUGAACCAGCCAAGUCGCGUGAGGGAGUACUGCCCUAUGGGUUGUAAACCUCUUUUGUCGGGGAGCAAAAGCCGGACGUGUCCGGCUGUGAGAGUACCCGAAGAAAAAGCAUCGGCUAACUACGUGCCAGCAGCCGCGGUAAUACGGAGGAUGCGAGCGUUAUCCGGUUUUAUUGGGUUGAAAGGGUGCGCAGGCGGAUUUUUAAGUAAGCGGUCAAAUCGUGGUGCUCAACCCCAUCCAGCCGUGGAAAGUGGGGAUAUAGAGUGUGCGGGAGGUAUGCGGAAUGCUGGGU